rnacentral:pre_miRNA from 1 species
AAAAUACUCCCUCCGUCCGGAAAUACUUGUCAGAGGAAUGGAUGUAUCUAGACAUAUUUUAAUUUUAAAUACAUUCAUUUUUAUGUAUUUCUGGACGGAGGGAGUAUAUA